AAAAAAAAGAAAAAAAAGAAAAAAAAAAGGAAGGAAGUUGAUAGCAACGAAUAAAUGAAUAUAAAUGAGAAUUUAGGAAUUGAAGAUAUUUGUAAAGGAACCAGAAGGACACAGGGAGAAAACUGUGGCCAUUGAAAUUAAGAACUUACUUAAAAAAUUUUUUUGAGAGGAAAAAGUUCUAAUAAUGAUAUUAGUUUGUUAAUAGGUGGAAAAGGUGGAAAAAUGUGUAACAACGCAGGAAAAAUAGAGGUAGGUCAUGCUACAGGUCAAUGUGUAAAAAUAAAAGUUGGAACUGAAACAGAAGCCUAGUUCUUUGAGAACGUAUAAACAAUAAGCUGAAAUACCUUACUUCAAAAAGUAAUGAAGAUAAUAAUACGGGCUGCUAAACCUUGAUAUUUUCAAAAUAUUUCUAUAUGGUGGAGUUAGGAUCCUGGGAGUAAACAGAGUGUAAAUAAAAACUUCUGAAGGCUGAAACCUCCACCAAGUGCAUCAAACAUCUUUGAUUAGUUCUGUGGUUUUGUGCAUGGAUACUACUCUGCAGUGUAAUCGCAUUUUUCUCACUGAAACUCAAUUCUGUUCCUUAUUUUAAUAACCAAAGCAGAUAAAAAAUUAAUAAAACUAGCACUAUCUUACUGAACCUUCAUUACUCAUCUGUCUUUUCAAAUAUUUAAUGGAUAGACCAGAUGUCUGUAUUAUAUUCAUUCCAUCAAAAGAUUAGUCAAACUUUAUACAUUUCAGUUUGUAUGUGACUGUUUUGGUCUUUUCUCUUUUUAACAGUAUUUUCUUUCAAUCUGCACUUAUCUAUGAAUAUCUAAAAAUUUUUCUGUGAUGAAGAAUUGUUUGUUUCCUAUUGUUAUUCAUUGUUGUGCAGUUCAGUUUAGAGGUAAUACAAUUUAGAUUGGCACAUCUCUUUCUUUUCUCUUCUACUCAUUAGCAGGGAGUCUUUAAUCUCUUCUCUCUCAGCUUUCCCUAAUAAUCACAAUAUCUCACUUUCCCAGUGGGAUUCGGUCUAAGAUUGAGUAGAAAAUUAGACUCACAUCAGGCAGGCUGAGCUUAUAAUAAUGCUGAAGAAGUAAUAUAACAUAAAAAAUGAAACAUUUCUGUUCUACAUAUGGUCUUAAUUAUUGUAACUUUUAGAGUGUAAUUCCAAAAAAAUAAAAAUUAAAAAAAAAAAAAAAUGACUAAUGAAUUGAACUGAGGUGGAAAAAUUUCCUUUAUCUUUUAAAAUAAAAACAUUCUAGACCAA
ensembl:lncRNA